UACGUAGGGGGCAAGCGUUGUCCGGAUUUAUUGGGCGUAAAGAGCGUGUAGGCGCCAAGCAGGUCAGCUGUGAAAACUCGAGGCUCAACCUCGAGACGUCGGUUGAAACCGCUUGGCUAGAGUCCGGAAGAGGAGAGUGGAAUUCCCGGUGUAGCGGUGAAAUGCGCAGAUAUCGGGAAGAACACCCGUGGCGAAGGCGGCUCUCUGGGACGGUACUGGACGCUGAGACGCGAAAGCGUGGGGAGCGGAACAGG
rnacentral:rRNA from 1 species